rnacentral:rRNA from 1 species
UAGUUGGUGGGGUAAAGGCCUACCAAGGCGACGAUCUGUAGCGGGUCUGAGAGGAUGAUCCGCCACACUGGAACUGAGACACGGUCCAGACUCCUACGGGAGGCAGCAGUGGGGAAUUUUGGACAAUGGGGGCAACCCUGAUCCAGCCAUGCCGCGUGAGUGAAGAAGGCCUUCGGGUUGUAAAGCUCUUUCGUCCGGGAAGAAAUCGCACAGGCUAAUACUCUGUGUGGAUGACGGUACCGGAAUAAGAAGCACCGGCUAACUACGUGCCAGCAGCCGCGGUAAUACGUAGGGUGCGAGCGUUAAUCGGAAUUACUGGGCGUAAAGCGUGCGCAGGCGGUUUUGUAAGACAGGCGUGAAAUCCCCGGGCUCAACCUGGGAACUGCGCUUGUGACUGCAAGGCUAGAGUACGGCAGAGGGGGGUGGAAUUCCACGUGUAGCAGUGAAAUGCGUAGAGAUGUGGAGGAACACCGAUGGCGAAGGCAGCCCCCUGGGCCGAUACUGACGCUCAUGCACGAAAGCGUGGGUAGCAAACAGGAUUAGAUACCCUGGUAGUCCACGCCCUAAACGAUGUCAACUAGGUGUUGGGUGGGUAAAACCAUUUAGUACCGUAGCUAACGCGUGAAGUUGACCGCCUGGGGAGUACGGCCGCAAGGUUAAAACUCAAAGGAAUUGACGGGGACCCGCACAAGCGGUGGAUGAUGUGGAUUAAUUCGAUGCAACGCGAAAAACCUUACCUACCCUUGACAUGUCCGGAAUCCCUGAGAGAUUGGGGAGUGCCCGAAAGGGAAUCGGAACACAGGUGCUGCAUGGCUGUCGUCAGCUCGUGUCGUGAGAUGUUGGGUUAAGUCCCGCAACGAGCGCAACCCUUGUCGUUAAUUGCCAUCAUUAAGUUGGGCACUUAGCGAGACUGCCGG